rnacentral:misc_RNA from 1 species
UGCCCACUGCAAAACAAAUUUAUAAUUUUCUUCUUCAGCUGAUGUACACAAAUAUUUCUACAACAACAACUAAGUCUUAAUUCCAGACUAGUUAGAAUCAUUUUUCAUCAUUCAAUUUUGGUAAAAACCAUAUCCACAAUAUGAAUAGUUCUAAUCGAUAGUUUUAAAAGAGUUGAAUUUUUCAUUAGAAACAUCAAAACUAAUGGUCAUUUUUCUCUCAUCCAACUCAUUCGAUGAAUUACUUUAAUUUAAGGGCACGGUUAUUAUAAACUUGAUCUUUUAUAAAAAUAAAUUCGACAAUCAUUAGAUUAAAUAUUUAUAUAUAAAUUUA